GACGAACGCUGGCGGCGUGCUUAACACAUGCAAGUCAAGGGGGCUCUCGCAAGGGAGCAACCGGCGAACGGGUGCGUAACACGUGAGCGACCGACCCUACUGGCGGGGGAUAGCCGGCCCAACGGCCGGGUAAUACCGCAUACGCUCUGGCAGUUGCAUGAGUGCCAGAGGACAGCUUCUCGGCAACGGGAGGCGCCAGAGGACGGGCUCGCGGCCUAUCAGCUUGNGGCGGGGUAACGGCCCACCAAGGCGACGACGGGUAGCUGGUCUGAGAGGAUGGCCAGCCACAUUGGGACUGAGAAACGGCCCAGACUCCUACGGGAGCAGCAGUGGGGAAUAUUGCGCAAUGGCCUAACGGCUGACGCAGCGACGCCGCGUGGGGGAUGACGCUUUUCGGAGUGUAAACCCCUGUUGCCCGAGACGAACCGGCAGUUUCGACUGCCCUGACGGUACCGGGUGAGGAAGCACCGGCUAACUCCGUGCCA
rnacentral:rRNA from 1 species